ACACACCACACAUGCACACCGUAUGCUCACAUGUACCACACAUACGUACACUACACACACAUACCAUGCUCACACACACCACAGAUGCACACCUCACAGCACAGCACACAUGCACACCUCACACACACGGCACACAGGCACACCUCACACACACAUGGCACACAGGCACACCUCACACACAUGACACACAUGCACACCUCACACGGCACACAGGCACACCUCACACACGGCACACAUGCACACCAACACAUACACACGGCACACAUGCACACCUCACACGGCACACAGGCACACCUCACAGACGGCACACAUGCACACCUCACACACGGCACACAUGCACACCUCACACACACGGCACACAUGCACACCUCACACACGGCACACAUGCACACCUCACACACACGG
rnacentral:lncRNA from 1 species